GGACACCUUCAGCUGCGGGGUCUUUGUAAUGCAGAUGGCCAAGGAAGUUGCACAGAACUUCCCCAACAUCCCCUCCAAAACUGAUAUGGAACCUUCAAAAACACAUGGAGCAACUGCGAAAAGAAAUGGCUGAGGAUAUACUAAAAAUGUCUGGUAUGUAAUGACAUUUAAUUCAAAGUAAAUGUAAAUUCUUUAUUUUUAUGUAGUUGUGUGGGACAGCCAUAUGUUCAGUUCAAGCCUAUGAUUUCAGAGUUCAUCAAAGCCAACAAGUGCUUCAUGUGUGCCACUGAUAAAGAACCUGGAUGUGGCCCAAAGACUGACUGGAAAUGAAGACAAAAGAGUUCAACAGAGUAAAGAACACAAACUGGAAGUGCAGUCUUUGUUGUUGAACAUGUAUGCUAUACCCCAUCCACACUGAAGAGGCUCUGAAAUGUACAUCAACCAGGGAUAAAGAGAAAGUUAACACUGUGAAAUGCUUCAUACUUAAUUGAAUUUAAGUGUCUGACAUGUUGGAAAAGAUUAAAGGUCUACAAUUUCUGUUUAAUUUGUCAAUAUUACAUUUUUAUUCAUUGAUUUACUGGCCACCAUUACUGUGGUUACAUGUUCAGUAUAUGUAUUGACCAGCAAACCCACUGCAGCCUACCUCACCAGCUCACUCUCCAUCCCUGCUUUGGACAAUUAAUAGCAUGAUUCUCGUACUUUGCCCUUUUCCUUUAUGGUUGAUAUUAACGACGAAAGGAAAUAUUAUCUGUCUCUCUCC